ensembl:lncRNA
GCCGCCCUGGGGACAGCCGAGGGCGAGGCGCCGCGCCGGCCGCCGGGUGGCCGAGCCCCCGGGCCGGGUCCACAGCGUCGCUUCCCGCCUCACGCAGCAGUGUUUCCGCUGCUCGCCCCAGCCAGUCCGCAGGAGGACGAGACCCACAGAGGGAGUCAGGCCUGGCGGAGUCACGCCUGAGCUCCUGUGGGAGGUUCAGGGAGGCCAAGGAGGUGUGCGGCCUUCCGGUUAAAGUGUGACUUGACAGCAGGGGCAAGUGCGGCAUCAAGUUCACGGCUGAGAUCAGUGUCAACGGGGACAAGACCACGGGUGUGUGUGUGAGUGAGUAAAGCAGCGCAUUACAAUAUGUGUGUUAAAUCCAAAGCAGAUAAUGUUGUACACAAUAUCUUGUAAGUUACAGACUCAGCACCCUGCUAAAGGUGAAAUGUCUGACCCUGAACUGACUCAGCAAAGACAGGGAGGGCCACUGUAUUCCUUGAAGGGCUUAUCUUCCCAGGAAGCCAGGUGGAAACUCAAAACAAUUCUACUCUUGUGGAUGGAUAUGCGGUGAGUUGGGUUAAAAAAUUGCUUUUGAAUUUUAUUGCGAUAAGAACACUUCACGUGAGAUCCAUCCUCUUACCAGAAUUUCCGUGUGUAAGGCUGUGUGUUAUCUCUAGACCCCAUGCUGCACAGCACAUUCAAGAAGUUACUCAUCUUACAUAACGGGCACACCCUUCAGCAGCCGGCCCCCACCGUCCCAUCCUUCGCUCUGUGAGCUUGAUCAGGUUGAAGCUGUCCUCCAGGUGGAUCAUGGCUAUAUGGACCGUAUAGGUGGGUCAUCCAUAUGGUGGCUCUUUCACUUGGCACGGUGUCCUCAGGGUUCAGCCACAUUUCUGCACUUGGCAGGAUUUCCUUCUUUUUAAAGGCCAAAUAAUAUUCCGCUGUGUGAAUUCAUGCAUUCAUGCAUUCAUUCAUGCACUUUUGAAAAAAUUUCAACUAUUUUGAAAAUCUCAAACUGCAAACAUGUUGGAAAAGGACGUUCUGUGAACACCAGGAAUGCCGUUUUCACCUCUCGCCCAUGUUCUAAUUCACCUUUUGCCACGUCUCCUGUUCCUGCCUCUGAGACCAUGUGCCAUGUCGUAUGUACUGUGUGUGUUAAUAUAAUUGGUGUGCACGCACUCAGCCGUGUCCGACUCUCUGCAACCCCACAGACUGUAGCCCGCCAGGCUCCCCUGUCCAUGGGAUUAUCCUGGCAAGAAUGCUGGAGCAGGCUGCCAUUUCCUUCUGCAGGGGAUCUUCCUGACCCAGGGAAUGAACCCACAUCUCUUGCACCUCCUGCACUGGCAGGCAAGCUCUUUACCGCUGCACCACCGGGGAAGCCCGUAAUACGGUAUGCGCAUGUGUGCUGAGUCGCUUCAGUCGUGUCCCACUCUUUGCGACCAUUUGGACUGUAGCUCACCAGGCUCCUCUGUCCGUGGGAUUCUCCAGACAAGAAUACUGGAGUGGGUUGCCACAGCCUUCUCCACGGGACCUUCCCCACCCGGGGAUCGUACCCGCUUCUCUUCCGUCUCCUGCGUUGGCAGGUGGGUUCUUUACCACUGGCACCACCCGGGAAGCCCAAUAUAGUAUGUACAGACGUUGCUUUUCUGCAGAACUGUUUGAGAGCAAAUUGCAGAAGUGUCGCCCUCAACGAGUGCCGCCCGUGAGCAAGGUUUCUCUCGCACAAGAACACAGGGCUGCCUGCAGGAGAAAUCCGCGCCGGGUUUAGAAGAGGGGAGUGAAGAGACCCUGGCUGGAGGGGCCUUGCCCUGCUCCCACUGUUGCAUAAGGUCCAGUUCCAUAGGAAAUCCCUCUUCCAGAUCGCUCACCCUGGUUCUGCUUCACUGAACAAACCCUAAGUGAUACAGACUGAAUCUCAGCAUUUAUCUACUUGGAGCUUCCUGAUCUUUUCCACGUUUUAGGGAGAAAACUGUUCCUUUUAGCCACUGGAACCAUCUCCACCUCUGAACUUGGAACAAGACACGGCCUGCAAAGCUGGUUUUUCAUUUUUCACGCACUGUUGAUUCUGCGUCUUGAUUCCGUCCUUGCAUCUUGAAGGCAACAACCAGAAAAACAGCCGUGUGACACCCAGCUGGGCUCUAAGUCUUUCUCCUGGAUUUCCGAGCAGACUGGGAGAGUGAGUCAGAGGGAAAGAGAGGGGGUGAGUGACUGAGGAGCCCUCAUCCUGAGUUUGUGGAGCAGAGACCUCACAAAGGCUGCCUGCCCUCCAGAGCUUCUCCACGCUCCCUCCAGAGAGGGCCAGGCUGAAUCACUCCUGUGUCUGGACACAUCAAAAGGCAAACUGCCUGUUUGUCGGGCUUGCCAGACCCAGCUAGGAGAAGCAACGGCAGGCCUGGGUGUGACUCACUCAGCCCACGUCGGGGAGUGGAGGUCACCCGGUUCCCGGGCCCUGUCCUCACCCUCCCCGGGGAGCAGGCUGCCUCCUGCCAAGGAGUCGGGCGAGGAGACACUGUUGGUUUGUCUCCUCCUCCCGGUGCCAGAGCGGAGCCUGGUGGGGCUUCGAAGACGCGCAUCAGGCUGAGUCUCAGAGAAGAAGGUGACCGCCAUUCAGUGCUCACGAGACACCCGGAGCAUGAGUGCUGUGAGAACGGGCCAGGCAGGCAGCUAAUUACAAGAAAUAUGCAAAAAGCGUGAUGGACAGGAAGCAGAAAAUGAUUGCUCUGGGUUGUUCUUUAGAUGCCUGAUCCAAAAUGCAGCUGGAUCUUUGAAUCUGCCUGCCACCCCAUUUUUUCCUCCAAAGUCAGGGUCUUCCAUAGACAUAGAAAACAAAUUUAUGGUUACCAAAGGAGAAAGGCAGGGUGAGGGAUACAUUAAGAGUUUGGGAUUAACAGAUACACACAAUUAUAUACAAAAUAGAUGGCUAACAGGGCCUACCGAGUAGCACACAGAACUGUCCUCAGUAUUUGUAAUAAACUAUAAGGGCAAAGACCCUGAGAAAGAAGAGAUGUGUAUAUAUGUGUAACUGAAUGACUUUGCUGUACGCUUGAAACUGCCACAGCACUGUAGAUCAACUAUACUUCAAUAAAAAUUUAGCAAAAUAAGAGGGUCUUUUUACAGCUGGAAUUUUCUACCACAUACCAUAACAGAUUUAACUUCAAGCAAAUUCCACACUAAAUCGUAUUUUCAUAUAUACAUAAAUACUCAUAUAAGUGCAUACUAUACACACACGUAUAUGUAUCAAGUUAAUACUGAUACAUACUCAUAUAAGCAUAUACUAUACACACAUAUGUAUAUGUAUCAGUACUAACUUGAGUAACAACUGGUUACUGACAUAGUUUGAUAUUUUCUAGAUACUUAUUAAACAUCUAUUACAUGUCAUUUUGAUAUUUCUUUCUCAUAGGUAGGACAUGAUUUUUUUCCAAGGCUCAACUAUUUUUUCAGGCUGUUGUGAAAAAAAAAAAAUAAAAUUCAGAUCCUAAUUCCAUCAACCUUAAAGUAGCUGAGAUGAAAACCUUUAGGGGAAUAUAUGUUUUAUGACCUCAUCAAUAAAUGAACACAUUCCUGACGUUCUUCUAAGGCUGAACACACACGUGUGCGUUAUGUGUGUGGGUGCCUGUGUGUUGCAAUUGGUGGUAAGGUGCAUCAAGCCAAGCUUUAGCUCUCUGUGGCGGGCAUAUCCUUAAGAAAACAAGAUCGCACUUUAUGUGAAAAAUGUAUCUUGAUCAUGUUUUGAGCGGCAUGGAAUUUGGAAAGAAAUACGACAUUUGAAGAAGAGAGGAGAAAAAAGAAUUCAAAUUAGCCCCUUCUGAUUUCUAUGAUCCAGAAAACAUUGACGUGUUUGAGUUGUUGCCACUAGCAUUUCCCAGCUGGUACAGUGGUAAAGAAUCUGCCUGCCCAGACAGGAGACCUGGGUUCCAUCCUUGGGUCAGGAAAAUCCCCUAGAGAAGGAAAUGGCAACCUGGCCCAGUAUUCUUGCCUGGAGAAUAUCACGGACAGAGGAGCCUGGCGGGCUACAGUCCAGGGGGUCGCAAAGAGCUGGACGCGACUGAGUGGCUGAGCACACACAACUGUUUCUAAAAGUCGAAGAACACUCAGAGGAAAGAGCGGGGAAACACGUCUUCGGCAGGGUCCCUAACAGGAAGCAGCUCGGUAGGGGCAGAGGUGAACACUCUGGGGUGCAUUUCAAAGAGGCUGCCUCUCCUGAGGUUGUUGACAAGCUGGUAGCUGAGGGAACGGGAGGGAGGCUCCCUCACCUUUUUCACCAUGUGAACUGAUAGUCCUUGGGUCAAGAAUGAACUCCUGUCCCCACUCGAAUAUUGCAGAGUUGGCCCAGACGUGCAGAAGAAGAGAGAGAAGGAGAGCAAAGGAAUCUUGAUGUUCCAUGGGCCAGACACGAUGGACUUAUAUGGAUUUCCAUGCAGGAGCCGGUUUAUAUGCAACACAUUCCUUCCUCGAGGUGUUUCGGGACAUUCUCAUUACAGUCUGCAAUUAUCCCAGUCAGGGCUCAGGAAACAGCUGGAGACGUCGUGAGAAACAGCGCAGUCUUGGCUUACUGCAGAGGAUAACUGGAUUUGGGGAAGAGGCCUCGGAGAUUCUUGCGUGUAGUGGGCUAUCAGCCUUUUCUUCAGGAGAACAAGUGCUACCGUCAAAUCAGAAUCCUUUCAAGCUUUGAGAUGCUUACUGGGUCUGACACAUAAAGGUCUUCAACCCUGAGAAGGAUGUUGCCUGUGUGCCUGCCAGGCUCCUCUGUCAGUGGGAUUCUCCAGGCAAGAAUACUGGAGCAGGUUGCCAUUUCCUUCUCCGGGGGAUUUUCCCAACCAAGGGAUCAAACCCAUGUCGCUUGCGUCUCCUGCAUUGGCAGGUGGAUUCUUUACCACUGAGCCCCCAGGAAAGCCCUUGAGAAGCACGUUAAGUCUUUAUAAAAUUGUUUUCCAAACUAGUUAUCUAAUUUCUCUUCAAAUUCCUCUUUCAUUUUCUCCAUCACUUAUUGUUGGCCAAUUGACCACUUUUUAAAUUGGUUAUCUUUAUUAGUCUUCUUCAAAAUUAUGAGAUAAUAAGCUAGUCCUAAGUCUGUGAUGUGAACCCCAGAGUUCAAAUACAAUUUUAGUGGAAGGCGUGGCUGAUGGGAAAAGUAGGUCAGAUAGCUCGUGAUAAACUGCUCCCAAGAAGGGAUUUUGGACCCAUCCACAGUGGACACUUUUCCUCAUUCUGACUUUAUCAAUUUGCUGCACACAAAGUUCCUGAUGAGUUCACUGUAAUUUUAUCACAACUGUUCUUGGAGGUGAUCAUUCCUGGGACAUAAUUUAACUCAGGGGGUUUAUAAUUGGGCUACGGGCCAAAAUAUAUGGGGAAAAAAAUAUCUCACCAGGAUGCCUGGAGAUCCUUGGUUUAAAUAUUUUGGCAACCCAGUGCUCGGCAGAGGAAUCCAACACAAUUUUUUGAGUCCUCUUCCUUUCAUAAGCAAUGAGUUCACACGUGGGUCUGGGUGUGUGGUUCAGAGAAGAGUCCUUGGAUUCCAGUUAAGCUUCGUGGAAGAACGAGUCUGGUUGCCGCCUUUACGUCUGAGGCUCUAGUUCACACUCCUUUGGCUUAUUUCUAAGUGUUUUUAUUUUCUAAUAAAAAAUUAGUUCUUUCUGAAGAUGUACAUAUAUACAAUGGAAUAUUAGUCAAUCAUAAAAAAGAAAAAUGGUGCCAUUUGCAGCAACAUGGUUGGGACCGGUCUGAGUGAAGUCAGACAGAGAAGGUGAAAUAUCGUGAGACAUCCCUUAUGUGGAAUCUUAAAACAAUAAUACAAAUGAACUUACAGAAAGUCAGAUAAUGAACUUCUGGUUGCUGGGAGGAACGAUGGGGGAAGGGGAUGGAGUCUGG